CGAACGGGUGAGUAACGCAUCGGAACGUGCCCAGUAGUGGGGGAUAGCCCGGCGAAAGCCGGAUUAAUACCGCAUACGACCUACGGGUGAAAGGGGGGGAUCGCAAGACCUCUCGCUAUUGGAGCGGCCGAUGUCAGAUUAGGUAGUUGGUGGGGUAAAAGCCUACCAAGCCGACGAUCUGUAGCUGGUCUGAGAGGACGACCAGCCACACUGGGACUGAGACACGGCCCAG
rnacentral:rRNA from 1 species